CCCUUAGAUGUUCUGGGCCGCACGCGCGCUACACUGACUACUUCAACGAGUUGUUUCCUUGAUCGAAAGGUCUGGGUAAUCUUUGAAAGGUAGUCGUGAUGUGGAUAGAUCCUUGCAAUUUUUGAUCUUCAACGAGGAAUUCCUAGUAAACGCAAGUCAUCAGCUUGCAUUGAUUACGUCCCUGCCCUUUGUACACACCGCCCGUCGCACCUACCGAUUGAAUGGUCCGGUGAAGCCUCCGGAUUGGCGCGCACCUCGGUGCCGCCGAGAAGUUGGCUAAACCUUACCAUUUAGAGGAAGGUGAAGUCGUAACA
rnacentral:rRNA from 1 species